UGCCCUAGUAACGGCGAGUGAAGCGGCAACAGCUCAAAUUUGAAAUCUGGUGCCUUCGGUGCCCGAGUUGUAAUUUGUAGAGGGUAGCUCGAGCCCGCCCCCGUCUAAGUCCCCUGGAACGGGGCGUCGUAGAGGGUGAGAAUCCCGUAUGCGACGGGGUGGCGUGCUCGUGUGAGCUCCCUUCGACGAGUCGAGUUGUUUGGGAAUGCAGCUCUAAAUGGGAGGUAAAUUCCUUCUAAAGCUAAAUACCGGCCAGAGACCGAUAGCGCACAAGUAGAGUGAUCGAAAGAUGAAAAGCACUUUGGAAAGAGAGUUAAAAAGCACGUGAAAUUGUUGAAAGGGAAGCGCUCACGACCAGACUCGGGCGCGGCUGCUCAGCCGGUCUUCUGACCGGUGCAUCGGUCGCGCCCGGGCCAGCAUCGGUUCGGGCGGUCGGAUAAAGGUCUCGGGAACGUAGCUCCCCUCGGGGAGUGUUAUAGCCCGGGGCGCAAUGCGGCCUGCCCGGACCGAGGAACGCGUUCGCUAGGAUGCUGGCGUAAUGGUCGUUAGCGGCCCGUCUUGAAACACGGACCAAGGAGUCUACCAUCUGUGCGAGUAUUAGGGUGUCAAACCCUUGUGCGUAAUGAAAGUGAACGGAGGUGGGAACCCUCGGGUGCACCAUCGACCGAUCCAGAUGUCCUCGGACGGAUUUGAGUAAGAGCACCGCUGGUGGGACCCGAAAGAUGGUGAACUAUGCGCGGAUAGGGUGAAGCCAGAGGAAACUCUGGUGGAGGCUCGCAGCGGUUCUGACGUGCAAAUCGAUCGUCAAAUCUACGCAUAGGGGCGAAAG
rnacentral:rRNA from 1 species